rnacentral:rRNA from 1 species
AACGAACGCUGGCGGCAUGCCUAACACAUGCGAGUCGAACGAGACCUUCGGGUCUAGUGGCGCACGGGUGCGUAACGCGUGGGAACCUGCCCUUAGGUUCGGAAUAACUCCCCGAAAGGGGUGCUAAUACCGGAUAAUGUCUUCGGACCAAAGAUUUAUCGCCUUUGGAUGGGCCCGCGUUGGAUUAGCUAGUUGGUAGGGUAAAAGCCUACCAAGGCGACGAUCCAUAGCUGGUCUGAGAGGAUGAUCAGCCACACUGGGACUGAGACACGGCCCAGACUCCUACGGGAGGCAGCAGUGGGGAAUAUUGGACAAUGGGGGAAAGCCUGAUCCGGCAAUGCCGCGUGAGUGAUGAAGGCCUUAGGGUUGUAAAGCUCUUUUACCCGGGAUGAUAAUGACAGUACCGGGAGAAUAAGCUCCGGCUAACUCCGUG